CUGACCACAGCAUCAGAGCCAGUCUUAGGAAGUUUCAAAGUGUGGAUCCUAGUUCCAGAUAGCUUGGGCUUGGAUUUUGCUUUUCACUCUUGCUUUUCUUGGUGGAGCCACUUAAUCCCUCUCCCCUCCAUUUCGUUAUCUGGAAAUUGGGCAUGUUCACUGGAUGAGUAGAACUAUGAAGAGCCCUCAGACCGAGCCCUGAAUUUUACUGAAGCUUCAGAAAGGACUCGCUAUUGCUAUUGUUGGCUUCAGGAGUAUGGAUCUGACUCAGGUACUAAGAGGAAGUGCUGGGGGCCAGCAGGUCGCAUGUAACAGAAAUGAGAUGAUCUGAUUUGUGAGACGCGCUGCAUAUCUAGGAAAGCAGCCCAGAGGAAGCCAGGGCAACGGGAAACAUGGCUGCUCUCUCACUACCCAGUGCAGACAGCGCACACUGAUGUCACUUUUGGGCCAUCCGCCAACUCCUCAGAAGUUGACCAGCCCUUAUUUACAUAAUACUUCCCAGGGCAGCUGUGAAGGUCUUAAAGGAAGUGAAAAGUAGAACCUCUGAGGAACACAGUCUGGGACUGGACAUGGAGUCUGUAUGGCGAACAGAGGCUGAGGUCUGAAGGACAGCACCAGCUUCCCCUGGAGAUGAGGAAGUUCCACCCGUGUAAGACAGAGAUAUGGCAUAGUCAGAUUUGUUUGAAAUUCAUGGAGAACACAGAGGUAGAGUGUGUUAGUAAGGAGUGGGGAUCGCUGCAUGUAAGAAGAGCAGCUUGAGCUGACGGGAAUGCAUUUCUCACACAGCAAAGGGGUGGUGACGGGUGGUCAGGGCCUGGCAGAUGCUCUGCUCUCUGCAUGUUUCAUUCUCACAGUGCCCAUGCUGGUUGUUGAGCUCAACACGUUACCCCUGUGUUUGAGGCUACAAGCAUGAGGAAAGAGUCAACGGUUCCUUCAUCAUCAACUAUAAUUGAGACCAACAGACUCUCAGCAGAUUUUUGGCAUUUAGGUAGAUACGAUCCCAGAUGGCCUCCUCUGUCUGUAAGAGAAGCUAAGCAAGCAAUAAUUCUCCCUCCAUGAAAGGCGUGUAUGCGGGAAGUUGGAAAUGAGCAAUGAGCAAGUCAAGCUGCCAUUUCUUCCACCAAAGUUCGCAAGUGAGAGACGGUGAGGACCUGCAGCCACACAAUGGCAACAAAAAAGGGACGCUACUGCCUUUGCAGGAAACUUCAGAGAUUCUGAUCGGUUCUUCUCGGUGUGGGGUCAUGAGUCAUCCAUCUCUGGGGGAAGCUCAGCAAAGGGUUAGAUGUAAGUUCAAAACCAACGGAAGUCUCAGGGCUUGGUCUGAGACUAUGGCUGAGAGGAGGAGCCAUUAGAAGAGUCUGGACACCAAGGCUGGCAUGCAGAGAGAAGAGCAGGGGGCACCAUGGUGACACUCGUUUAGACAGUGGAGGCAGAAGAUGAAAACCUUCAGGGAGGCUCUACAAGAAGAUGGCCAGAAAAGUCAAGGGAACGAAGAAUUUCCAGAAAGAGGUCCCAAAACGGUCAGAAAUACCAAAGAGGUCCUAUAAGGCAGAGGACUGGAAAAUGCCUGCAGGAUCUGACCAUACGAUUUCCUAGUUGGUCUUGAUCUGAGCGGUCGAUUGGUGAAGAUGGGGCAAUCCUUUACCUGUAGUGAAGGAGGGCAGCAGGCAAGUUCAGAUUCCUUCUUAGUGGAGGCUCUAGAAGUUGAGAGAAAUAAAACCGGGUGAUGGGAUAGAGGAAGAAAUUAAUGGCUUGGCUGGACUGUAUUUAGAGGUUAGGAGAAGCCAACAGAAAGGGAAGGGAUGAGGACACAGGAGUCUCUAAAACGCUAGAGGAAAGGCAUGCAGGCCUCUCCCUUAUCUGUUCAACCAACUGCAGCCCCAAAACUUUCCAGAAGUAAACAAUGCGUAGGUUUCUAAUACGUCUUACUAAAGUAUAUUGUUAUAAUUGUUCUAUUUUGUCAUUGUUAAUAUUUUAGGAUUUACUCUUACUAUUACUUUUAAUUACAUGUAGGUGUCUGUGUCUGUAUGUCUCUGGUCUCCUGACUACACAUAGAGCAUGCUCAUCCGUCUAUGCAUGGAACAUGCUCUUGAGUACUUGUAUCUGUCUGCACACUGAGGAGCAAAUGUGUUUUCAUUUUCCUGUUCAAAAUAACAGGAAGUAUCAUUCUUGAAGUCUUCCUAUUCAUAACAGAAAUGUAACGAAAAAACACAAAACAGCAACAAAAACCAGAAAGUCGCUAGUGAUGUAUUGGGGAGGCAUGGUGUUUGGUACCACACCUCACGAGGUGGAUAAAAUAAUCUCCACUCUCAAA